GAUAUCUCUUAAGUUUUCGGUGAAUUUUAUGUUUUCUGCAUAAAAUGAGAGGGAAUCCGGUGCAAUUCCGGAACAGUGCCCGCUACUGUGAGGUUCGUAUAAGGUGAAAAGUUUUCUUACAACCACGGUCGACGCGACUGGAAGGUUACUUUUCCGGACUGAGUCAGGAAACCUGCCGAAAAUAAUAAUAAUGC
rnacentral:ncRNA from 2 species